rnacentral:rRNA from 1 species
GGUUAAGCGACUAAGCGUACACGGUGGAUGCCCUGGCAGUCAGAGGCGAUGAAGGACGUGCUAAUCUGCGAAAAGCGUCGGUAAGGUGAUAUGAACCGUUAUAACCGGCGAUGUCCGAAUGGGGAAACCCAGUGUGAUUCGUCACACUAUCGUUAACUGAAUACAUAGGUUAACGAGGCGAACCGGGGGAACUGAAACAUCUAAGUACCCCGAGGAAAAGAAAUCAACCGAGAUUCCCCCAGUAGCGGCGAGCGAACGGGGAGCAGCCCAGAGUCUGAAUCAGCUUGUGUGUUAGUGGAACGGUCUGGAAAGUCCGACGGUACAGGGUGAUAGUCCCGUACACCAAAAUGCACAGGCUGUGAACUCGAAGAGUAGGGCGGGACACGUGGUAUCCUGUCUGAAUAUGGGGGGACCAUCCUCCAAGGCUAAAUACUCCUGACUGACCGAUAGUGAACCAGUACCGUGAGGGAAAGGCGAAAAGAACCCCGGCGAGGGGAGUGAAAAAGAACCUGAAACCGUGUACGUACAAGCAGUGGGAGCACCUUCGGGUGUGACUGCGUACCUUUUGUAUAAUGGGUCAGCGACUUAUAUUCUGUAGCAAGGUUAACCGUAUAGGGGAGCCGCAGGGAAACCGAGUCUUAACUGGGCGUUAAGUUGCAGGGUAUAGACCCGAAACCCGGUGAUCUAGCCAUGGGCAGGUUGAAGGUUGGGUAACACUAACUGGAGGACCGAACCGACUAAUGUUGAAAAAUUAGCGGAUGACUUGUGGCUGGGGGUGAAAGGCCAAUCAAACCGGGAGAUAGCUGGUUCUCCCCGAAAGCU